AACCUCCGCAAUGUGAGAAAUCGCGACGGGGGGAUCCCAAGUGCCAUUCUUAACGGGAUGGCUUUUCAUUAGUGUAAAGAGCUUUUGGAAUAAGAGCUGGGCAAGACCGGUGCCAGCCGCCGCGGUAACACCGGCAGCUCUAGUGGUAACAAUUUUUAUUGGGCCUAAAGCGUCCGUAGCCGGUUUAAUAAGUCUCUGGUGAAAUCCUGUAGCUUAACUGCGGGAAUUGCUGGAGAUACUAUUAGACUUGAGACCGGGAGAGGUUAGAGGUACUCCCAGGGUAGAGGUGAAAUUCUGUAAUCCUGGGAGGCCGCCUGUUGCGAAGGCGUCUAACUGGAACGGUUCUGACGGUGAGGGACGAAAGUUAGGGGCGCGAACCGGAUUAGAUACCCGGGUAGUCCUAACUGUAAACGAUGCGGACUUGGUGUUGGGGUGGCUUUGAGCUGCUCCAGUGCCGAAGGGAAGCUGUUAAGUCCGCCGCCUGGGAAGUACGGUCGCAAGACUGAAACUUAAAGGAAUU
rnacentral:rRNA from 1 species